ACACAAGGACCUCGCUCCUGGGACUGGCAAGCCAUCGGGACGGAAGGCUCUCUGAGUGCCCAGCAACCCCUCCCCACUCCUCUGCCCCCCAUGCUUCUUUCAGAACACUGGUUUCUGGCCUCUGUCUCAAAUGAGCGUUCUGAGCAAGUCUCCUCCGUCAGCAAAUUCUGGCUUCAAUGGUGACUGAGUCUACCUUUUAAGAAGUGAGUCACUAAGUCCAGUCCUGGAGGAAGAAAAUUAAGCUCCACUUCCCGGAGGGAGAAGUAUCAGAGAAUCCGUGGACAUCUGUUCAAACCACUAUGGUCCUGCUCGCACGCCUGCUGCUCCAUGAAUCCCCACCAGAACGGGAAGCUUGUCAAGAGGAGGAAGCAUGGGCUGUUCCUCUCUGUACCCCUGUGCCCAACCCGGAGCUUGGUCUUGAAGCGACACUUCAGAGUCUCAAGGAGCAAAUGAACUGACUUCUGUCGGUGGCUCUACCACCUCCCAAUCACCCAGGCCUGAAACCUGACCAGCCCAAUGCCUGGCUGGUCACAAGCUCUGCUGAUUCUCCCUGAAAAGCCACCCCGACUUCUCAGUCUGGGCUUCACAGCCCUCCCCAGGCUGGCACCAACCUAGCCAACUGCGUCCCGGGGGUCCCCUCCUUCUGCCGGCCUGGACUCUCCACUGCUCACUCAUCCACCCACCUCCACGCUAUUUACUGAGCCCAUACUGAGCCCUGCCAUUGCUCCAGGGGCUGGGGAUGCAGGGGACAGGCAGACUGAGUCCUCUCCCUCAAGGCUCUCACAGUCUCUUGGGGGUAGACGGACAAUAAAUCGGUGUGCAAAUGACAGAAUAA